GUCCCCGUAGUUCAGCGGAUAGAAUGCCAGCUUGCGGAGCUGGAGGUCGCAGGUUCGAAUCCUGCCGGGGACG
rnacentral:tRNA from 1 species